rnacentral:rRNA from 1 species
GACGAACGCUGGCGGCGUGCUUAACACAUGCAAGUCGAACGGAAAGGCCCUGCUUUUGUGGGGUGCUCGAGUGGCGAACGGGUGAGUAACACGUGAGUAACCUGCCCUUGACUUUGGGAUAACUUCAGGAAACUGGGGCUAAUACCGGAUAGGAGCUCCUGCUGCAUGGUGGGGGUUGGAAAGUUUCGGCGGUUGGGGAUGGACUCGCGGCUUCUCCGCUUGUUUGUGGGGUAGUGGCUUACCAAGGCUUUGACGGGUAGCCGGCCUGAGAGGGUUACCGGCGACAUGGGGACUGAGAGAGGGAGCAGAAUGCUACGGGAGGCAGUAGUGGAGAAUAUGACAGAAUGGGCGGAAGCCUGAGGCAGAAACGCCGCGAGCGGGAUGACGGCCUUCGGGUUGUAAACCGAUUUGGAAGGUAACGAAGAGUGAGUGACGGUAAUGGGUAAAGAAGCACCGGCUAACUACGUG